rnacentral:sRNA from 1 species
GUCGUGAGAUGUUGGGUUAAGUCCCGCAACGAGCGCAACCCUUGUCAUUAGUUGCUACAUUCAGUUGGGCACUCUAAUGAGACUGCCGGUGACAAACCGGAGGAAGGUGGGGAUGACGUCAAGUCCUCAUGGCCCUUAUGGGUAGGGCUUCACACGUAAUACAAUGGCGCGUACAGAGGGUUGCCAAGGAGCGAUCUGGAGCCAAUCCCGUAAAGCGCGUCGUAGUCCGGAUUGCAGUCUGCAACUCGACUGCAUGAAGUCGGAAUCGCUAGUAAUCGCGGAUCAGCAUGUCGCGGUGAAUACGUUCCCGGGUCUUGUACACACCGCCCGUCACACCAUGGGAGUGGGUUUCACCAGAAGCCGGUCGCUUAACCGCAAGGAUGGCGCCGACCACGGUGAGAUUCAUGACUGGGGUGAAGUCGUAACAAGGUAGCCGUAUCGGAAGGUGCGGCUGGAUCACCUCCUUUCUAAGAAAGCGCUCUCCAGCGCCCACCAUCUAUCGGCUGUAAAAAUCUGCGGCCUUCACUGGGUCUGUAGCUCAGUUGGUUAGAGCACCGUCUUGAUAAGGCGGGGGUCGAUGGUUCGAAUCCAUCCAGACCCACCAACCAACCGUGCAACUCACAUCGAGGAAUCAGCAAUCAGCAUUCGCGCGAGCGGGUGCUGAUUGGUGCUUCUUCGUGUAAGUGAGAAGAAGUGUCGAUCGGCUGCUCUUUAACAAUAUGGGAUAGAAGGUAAAGUUGUUCUCGUUCACGAGGGCUGCGUGCGCGCGGUAUGGCGAGGCGGGUCGAGUGGCGAGGGCUAACUGGGUUAUGUAUUGCAUCGUGUCUUCACUGGGUAACUGGUGGGGAUGCAAGCACAAGCGUGAGAAUAGCCUGUGACUUUGAGAUGCUCCGGGGGACUUUGCCCUGGGGUGCUGGGUGUUCUAAAGAUGCCCGGCGGCAAGGUUAUAGGGUCAAGCGAAUAAGUGCAUGUGGUGGAUGCCUUGGCAAUGAUAGGCGACGAAGGACGUGACAGCCUGCGAUAAGCUGCGGGGAGCCGGCAAAUGGGCUUUGAUCCGCAGAUUU